rnacentral:rRNA from 1 species
CCCUUAGAUGUCCUGGGCCGCACGCGCGUUACACUGAUGCAUUCAACGAGCUUAUAACCUUGGCCGAGAGGCCUGGGCAAUCUUGUUAACGUGUAUCGUGAUAGGGAUAGAUUAUUGAAAUUAUUAAUCUUGAACGAGGAAUUCCUAGUAAACGCAGAUCAUCAAUCUGCAUUGAUUACGUCCCUGCCCUUUGUACACACCGCCCGUCGCACCUACCGAUUGGAUGGUCCGGUGAAGCCUCGGGAUUGUGGUUCUUGCCGCUUUAUUGUGGCGUGACCGCGAGAACUUGUCUAAACCUUAUCAUCUAGAGGAAGGUGAAGUCGUAACA